rnacentral:lncRNA from 1 species
AAGAUUGAAGACUCCGGCUCGUGUCCGGAAGGUACUUUCCUUGGCGUGGAAGGCAAGCUUGGCGAUACGGAUAUGUAGAUCUCCUACCAUUGUAACCGACUCUGUGUAACCCUAGCCUCUCCGGUGUCUAUAUAAACCGGAGGGCUUUAGUCCGUAGGACGAACAUACAUUACAACAAUCAUACCAUAGGCUAGCUUCUAGGGUUUAGCCUCCUUGAUCUCGUGGUAGAUCUACUCUUGUACUACCCACAUCAUCAAUAUUAAUCAAGCAGGACGUAGGGUUUUACCUCCAUCGAGAGGGCCCGAACCUGGGUAAAAACGCUGUGUCCCUUGUCUCCUGUUACCAUCCGCCUAGACGCACAGUUCGGGACCCCCUACCCGAGAUCCGCCGGUUUUGACACCGACAUUGGUGCUUUCAUUGAGAGUUCCUCUGUGUCGUCACCGAUAGGCUUGAUGGCAUUUUCAACCAACAACACUGUCCUGGGUGAGAUUUUUCCCCCAGACAGAUCUUUGUAUUCGGCGGCUUCGCACUGCGGGCCAAUUCUCUUGGCCAUCUGGAGCAGAUCGAAAGCUACACCCCUAGCCGUCAGGUCAGAUUCGGAAGCUUAAACUUCACGGCCGAUGUCCAUGGAGACUUGAUCUUCGACGGACUCGGGCCACAGCCGAGCGCGCCGCACUGUGACGAUGGGCACGAUCUAGCUCUGCCGCCGGACAGUGCCUUGGUGGCCGCACUCGCAUCCGCUCCGGCCAUUAGCCCGGAGCCAAUCGCCCAUAUCGAGGGCCGGUGGGUAGACGCCGCCCUGGGGGCUUCAACAUCCAUGGCGAUGGAGCCGAAUACUGAUCUUGUCCCCUGCGAAACCCGUGAUUCCGAGGUGCCGGACUCCUCGCCGGACUCCGAACCUCCCGCGCCCCUACCAAUUGGUCCGGAUUGGGCGCCGGUCAUGGAAUUCACCGCCGCGGACAUUUUCCAACACUCGCCUUUUGGCAAUAUCCUGAAUUCACUGAAGCGUCUCUCGCUAUCAGGAGAGUCCUGGCCGGACUAUGGCCAGGACGGUUGGAGUUCGGACGAUGAAGAAAUUCAGAGCCCACCCACCACCCACUUUGUAGCCACUGUCGAGGAUCUAACCGACAUGCUAGACUAUGACUCCGACGACAUCGAUGCUAUGGACGACGAUGCCGGAGACGAACAAGAACCAGCGCCCACAGGGCACUGGAAGACCACCUCGUGAUACGACAUAUACAUGGUGGACACCCCAAAAGAUGGGGAUGGCGAAGAAGUAGCGGAGGCAGAUUCUCUAAAGAAGCAGCCCAAACGCCGACGUCAGCGGCGCCGCUCUAAAUCCCGCCACAGCAAGAAUGGAGAUUCUGGCACAGGAGACAAUAACACUCCGGAGAGUGCCGAAGACAAUCCCCUCCAGCAAGACUCAGCGCAGGAGGAUGCAGAAGCAAGCCCUCAUGACAGGGCGGCAGACGAAGGAGCUGAGGAUGAUAACUAUAUGCCUCCCUCCGAAGACGAAGCAAGCCUCAACGAUGACGAAUUCGUCGUACCCGAGGAUCCCGUCGAACAAGAGCGCUUCAAGCGCAGGCUCAUAGCCACGGAAAAUAGCCUAAAGAAAAAGCAGCAAUAGCUCCAAGCUGAUCAAGAUCUGCUGGCCGAUCGAUGGACCGAGGUCCUCGCGGCCGAAGAAUAUAAACUCGAACGCCCCUCCAAAAGUUACCCAAGACGCAAGCUGCUCCCCCGAUUAGAGGAGGAAGCAUACAUACCUUCAUCACCAGCGCACGACAUGGCUGACCGACCACCCCGUGGUCGUGACAGAGAGGCAUCCAGGCCCCCAGCCAAAUCCGCACCCCUGCAUCGCCCCAAGAGUACGAAGCCAAGAGGGAACACGCUGGACUUGCGAGAUAUACUGGAGGACAAGGCAAGACAAUCCAGAUCCAUUUACGGAUCACGUGGGCGCCCCACUACCCACGACGAAUAUCGUCGCGCCGGACAUAACAAUCCCGGCCGGGCCGAACACAGCAGACAGUGCUCUCUCGAGCUGCGUCGCGAUAUCGCCCAAUACAGGGGUGCCGCACACCCUCUAUGCUUCACUGACGAAGUUAUGGAUCAUCAGAUCCCCGAAGGGUUUAAACCCGUAAACAAUGAAUCUUACGAUGGCACAACAGACCCCGCGGUUUGGAUCGAAGACUAUCUUCUCCACAUUCACAUGGCCCGCGGUGACGAUCUCCAUGCCAUCAAGUACCUCCCACUCAAGCUUAAAGGACCAGCUCGGCAUUGGCUAGAUAGCUUGCCCGCAGAGUCAAUUGGGUGCUGGGAGGACCUGGAAGCCGCAUUCCUCGACAACUUUCAGGGCACGUAUGUGCGACCAUCGGACGCCGAUGACCUAAGCCACAUCAUUCAGCAGCCAGACGAAUCGGCCAGACAAUUUUGGACGCGGUUCUUGACAAAGAAAAACCAAAUCGUCGACUGUCCGGAUGCAGAGGCCCUUGCAGCCUUCACAUAACAUCCAGGACGAAUGGCUAGCCCGGCACCUGGGGCAGGAAAAGCCGAAAUCCAUGGCAGCCCUCACAUCGCUAAUGACCCGCUUUUGUGCGGGAGAGGACAGCUGGCUAGCUCGCAGCAACAAUCUCCGUAAAAACUCUGGUAGUCCGGAUACUAAGGACAACAACGGCAUGUCACGUCGAAUCAAAAACAAGCGCCGCAUUAACAACGACGAUAAGGAGGAUACGGCAGUCAAUGCCGGAUUCCGAGGCUCUAAACCCGGUCAGCGGAAGAAGCCAUUCAAAAGAACCACUCCGGGUCCGUCCAAUCUGGACCGAAUACUCGAUCGUCUAUGCCAAAUACAUGGCACCUCUGAAAAGCCAGCUAACCACACCAAUAAAGACUGUUGGGUGUUCAAGCAGGCCGGCAAGUUAAUUGCCGAAAACAAUGACAAGGGGCUAAAUAGCGACGACGAGGAAGAGACCCGGCCGCCGAACAAUAGAGGACAGAAGGGUUUCCCCCCGCAAGUGCGGACGGUGAAUAUGAUAUACGCGACCCAUAUACCCAAGAGGGAGAGGAAGCGUGCACUACGGGACGUCUAUGCGAUGGAGCCAGUCGCCCCAAAGUUCAACCCAUGGUCCUCUUGCCCGAUCACUUUCGAUCGAAGAGACCAUCCGACCAGCAUACGCCAUGGCGGAUUCGCCGCAUUUGUUUUAGACCCAAUCGUCGAUGGGUUCCACCUGACGAGAGUCCUGAUGGACGGCGGUAGCAGCCUGAACCUGCUUUAUCAGGAUACAGUGCGCAAAAUGGGCAUAGACCCAUCAAGGAUUAAACCUACAAAGACAACCUUUAAAGGUGUCAUCCCAGGAGUGGAAGCCAACUGUACAGGCUCAGUCACACUGGAAGUGGUCUUCGGAUCACCGGAUAACUUCCGAAGCGAAGAGUUAAUCUUCGACAUAGUCCCGUUUCGUAGCGGCUAUCAUGCUCUGCUCGGACGAACCGCGUUUGCAAAAUUCAACGCGGUGCCGCAUUAUGCAUACCUAAAGCUCAAGAUGCCAGGCCCUCGCGGAGUCAUCACGGUCAAUGGAAAUACGGAAUGCUCCCUCCGAACGGAGGAACAUACAGCGGCUCUCGCGGCAGAAGUACAGAGCAGCCUUCUCAGGCAAUUCUCAAGUCCGGCAAUUCAAAAGCCGGAUACAGCAAAACGCGCCCGGAGCAACGCCAACCGAGACCACCUGGCGCGAUCAGAGCACGCGUAGCAAUGCGGCCCCAACCCUCGCCCGCGCAUGAUCGCAAGAAUAACACUCCGCGUACACCAUUACGCUUUGGAGAUACCAUGGGCGUAGGGAAAGGGGCACGAUCACAAGGGACCAAGAGUGCGGCUCGACCACACCAGGGGCUCACACUAGCGCCCCCCUUGUUUUUAUUUUUAUCUUUUCUUCUUUUGUGUAUACAGGACUCCGGUAAUCAGAAGCCCUGUCCGAUGGCGAACUCGCCGAACUCAUGAUGCAACAGUCAGGGACUAAAGAAGGCUGCGACGAACACUCAGGUGGUCUCAAUUGCGAGCAUUAAAUUCAAUUACAUACACCAAGUUUGCAGCUUAUCCCUGGAGGGGGACAUGUUUACUUAGUCCAAAUCCCUUGCUUACCGCACUAUUUGUAUCAGUCCGCUCUAUUAGCAGACUUUCUUUCAUAAAUAAUGCAGCACGUUUUUAUUUGCAAUUGCAUUACCUUUUAUGUAUACGUUCAUUACAUGACGUCUUGCACCCGUAUAUUUUGGUACGGCCGAAUACUCCAGGGGCUUCUGUUCCCCAAUUUAUGGUAUGAUAAAGUCCGAACACUUUCACAAGUGCGGCACCCCGAACUUAUAGCAUUAUAUGAAUUGGCUCUGAAUCAUGUCUUGGGUCAAUAGUUGGGUUUGCCCGGCUCCCACGUUUUGGUGCCUUACGUUCCGUUCUGUCGGCUAAGGUGGCACUGGGAGAACCACUGCGACUGCGCCCCGGUUGAGCCGGGUUAACGCCUCAGUGGAGAAAGCUAAAACUGACUGGCAUGAUAUGGCGAGAGACCGGUCACUGUUCGAGAGGUUCUUUCGGGUCCUUAAAGACUCACGCCGCUUCGAGCGAAGUUCUGGAUGAUGUCCGAUGAAGGCGUGGAUAGCGCCCCGGAUUCGGUCUUCCGAAUACCAGGGGCUUCGCCGAAAUUUAAAAUUAUAGAAUUCUAUGGCUAAGUGAGAGUGUUCAAGCAUUAUAAGUCCGGUUGCCUUGUUCGUCGUGUUGAGCGCCUCCCUAGAUGGACCCAAAAAUGGGAACAAGAGUGCUCAAGUUUAUCAUCGAACACCCCAGCACUCGUGGCUUGGGGGCUGAAGCCAACGACUUGCCAUCUCUCAGAUUUAACAAACGGCCGCACAGAAGGUAAUAUUUUAAAUUAAACAAGCGUUGCUCAUGGCGCAUAUAAACGAAGUUUUCAGCGCCCAGGAUAAAAACACAGCGAGUUCACUCAAAGAUUACAUUUCGGGGCACUCAUCUGCAAUAUCGCAGGCUCCCUUCAGGACAACUUUAUAAUAUCGCUCCGGCGUGCGAUGCUCCUUGCCAGGCGGCGGUGGAUCCGUGAGAAGCUUCUCCGCAUCCAGUUUGCCCCAUUGCACCUUUAUGCGGGCAAGGGCCCGACGAGCGCCUUCAAUACAGGCCGAGCACUUGAUGACGUCCAGCCUGGGGCAUGCAUCCAACAGCCGCCGCACAAGGCCAAAGUAGCUUCCUGGCAUGGCCUGUCCAGGCCACAGCCAGACCAUGAGACCCUUCAUGGCCUCCUCAGCUACCUUGUGGAGUUCGACCAGCUGCUUCAGCUGGUCGCUUGGAGGCACCGGAUGGCCGGCCUCAGCGUACUGAGACCAGAAGACCAUCUCCGUCGAGCUCCCCUCCUCGCCACGAUAGAAUGAGGCGGCAUCAGAUGCACUACGCGGCAGAUCUGCAAACGCCCCUGGAGAGCUCCGAAUACGGGUAAGUAUCCGGUAAUUUACAUUAACAUGCUUGCUCUGCAUGAAAAACGCCUUACCCGCAGCUAUCUUCUUUAUAUCCUCUACCUCCUGAAGGGCCUUCUGGGCCCCGGCCUUGGCGGACUUGGCACUCUCAAGAGCCGAGGCAAGCUCAGACUCUCGAGUCUUGGAGUCACGCUCCAAACUCUCAUGCUUUUCCAUGAGAGCCUGGAGCUCUUGCCGAACUUCCGCCACCAGCGCCUCUUGUUUUUCUCGCUCAGCCCGUUCCGCGGCCGCAUUGCGUUCGGCCGCGGACACGGCAUCCUUCAGGGCUGCCACCUCCUUCGUGCCCCUGCAAUCCACAUAUUAUCCUUGUUAAUCUUGUUUGCAACCAAAACCCUUUUCUGUAAGGUACUUAUUCAAAGAGGUGUUACUCACCUUCUUUCUCCUCGAGCUGCUUCUUUGCAUGGCCGAGCUCUUGCUCGGACCGCUCGAGGUUCUUUUUCAGCACAUCGACCUCCGCCGUUAAUGCGGUAGAGGCCAGCAGCGCAGCCUGCAAACCCAUAUUGACAUAUUUUUUAGCAACCCUGCGUAUAUCUUGUUAGAUCCUUAGUCCGGCUUUUCUUUCCGAACACCGAACUAAGCAUCAGGGGCUACUGUCUAUGCGGUAUUACAUUACACAAUUUUAACUUCUUACCUCAAAGCCUGUUAGAAGGCUGCUGCAGGCUUCGGCAGCCCGCUUUUGGCGAGCUGAACCUUCUCAAUCACCGCACUCAUGACAGUGCGGUGUUCUUCCUCGAUGGAAGCGCCUUUAAGCGCCUCCAACAGGUUAUCCGGCGCCUCCGGAUUGACGGACGCCGCCGGCGUCGUGGUCCUGCCCCUCUUUCGAAGGGGCCGCUUGCCGGACUCUGGAGCCACUGCGGGUUCCGGUGUAGAGUCCGGCACGAAGUCCGGGAGGCUGCCUGACGGCACCUCCGGAGCCUCCUCCUGAUGGGUCCCUCUGUGGGAUCCCACCUCGGCGUCCUCGUCGACGCGUGGGGUAGAGGCAGUCGGGAUGGAAUUUACAUCCGACGAGGCCAACGACCCGCUCAUCGAGUCGGGGAGAUCGUUAACGGCCGGACUACGGGCAGAAUGCGGCGUUAGAAGGACAAUGCAUGACAUACAAUAUACGGCAUAUAAACGAUCCGAAUACUUACGAUCCUACCGGACGCCUGGCCCUCGGAGGCCACUCAUCCUCGCCAACGUCGAUGUUGGCGAAACUGUCCGGGGGGAUAGUUCUCCCCCUCUUGGACCCUUCGGCCUCCCCAGUUGGGGAAGCCUUCCUUUUCUUCUCUCCCUCCUCCAGGAGAGAAUACUCCUCCUCCUCGUCUUCAGGGGAAGAGUCCUCGUCGUCGUCAGACGCCUGAUUACGGGAACUCUUUCGAGUCCCCGUGGCCACCUUCUUGGCCUUCUUCUCCGGCACCACGUGCGGUGCCGGAACCAGCAGCCCUGUUAUGCGGGCGUUCACUGGGUCUUCUGGCAUGGGAGCCGGGCUGAUAAGCAGCUUGGCUUUCUCCAUCCAUUCCUGUCAAAGGAAAGGGCAGAGUGAAAUCCCAAUAAAAGCUAAUUUAAUUAUCACAAGUGUCCCGUAAUGGGGUUGAAUCACUUACCGCGUCAGUUGGACACUGCGCGCUGAAUCCGCGAUCUCUCGUCUCGGAUGCGGGGGCUUCGGCGCCCUUGAACAGCACCCUCCAGGCGCCUUCGUAUGUUGUAUCGAAGAGCCCGCUUAGCGCCUGGUGCUGUUCCGGAUCGAACUCCCACAGAGUAAAUGCCCGUUCUUGGCAUGGGAGGAUCCGCCGGAGGAGCAUGACUUGGACCACGUCGACAAGCCGGAGACUUUCGCUCACCAUCUUCUUGAUGCAGGCUCGGAGUCCCGUCACCUCCACCGGAUUACCCCACUGCAAGCCCUUCUCUUUCCAGGAGGUGAGCUGCGUGGGGAUUCCAGAUCUAAACUCGGGGGCCGCCGCCCAUGUGGGCUUGCGCGGCUCGGUGAUGUAGAACCACCCCGAUUGCCACCCCUUGACGGAAUCCACGAAGGUCCCUUCUAGCCAAGGGACGUUGGGCAAUUUGCCCAACAUGGCGCUUCCGCAUUCCGCUUGCGUGCCCUUCACAACCUUCGGCUUGACGUUGAAGGUCUUGAGCCACAGGCCGAAGUGGGGCUGGAUGCAGAGGAAGGCCUCACACACGACGACGCCGAGAUGUUGAGGAUAGUUCGGCGCCAGAUCGUGGAAAUCCAGGCCGUAGUAAAACAUGAGCCCUCGGACAAAUGGGUGGAGCGGAAAGCCCAGUCCGCGGAGGAAGUGGGGGAGGAAGACGACCCUCUCUUGAGGCCCAGGGGUGGGGAUGAGCUGCCCCUCGUCGGGCAGCCGAUGCGCAAUAUCGCCGGAAAGGUAUCCGGCGUCACGCAGCUUGGUGAUGUCCUCCUCCUUGACGGUGGAGACCAACCAUUUACCUCCCGCUCCGGACAUAUUCGGAGAAGGUCGAGGAGAGAUGCGCAGGCUUGAGCGUUGGAGCUUGAGUGCGCGGGGAUGGAUAAGCAAAGGAGGAAGAAGGCGUAGGUGAGGAGGUAAAUCCUUAUCCCAUAUAUAUAGGCGGACUAAACUAUGCGUCCCCCACCAGCCUGGUAAAACUCGCUUAUCUCCCAAGCACCACCAUCAAUGGCGCGGUUGGGUUACCCACGUCCGUAUUGAUGAGAAUCCCGGAAUAAAGGGAAACACGAUCUCUGCUUUGACAAGACAUGCCAAGGAAACCGCUUCGCUAAACGUGCUGAGGUGGAAUAAGUAAAAAGACGAUUCAAACAAGGGCUUGGUAGCGGUGUGAUGUCACGCCGCAUAAUACGUCAGCAGAUUGAUUCAGUGUAUAUGUUUUAUUCUCUCUACGGUGGAAUGUGGAAAUUAUUUUUGCAGAGCCGGACACUAUCCUGGUGUUCAUUAUCUUCUCUGGAUUAUUCAAGGGAGGAACCCGUCUUGCAAUGCCGAACAUUAUGCACGCCGGACUUAUCGUCAUUGAAGACUGGUUCAGGGGCUACUGAGGGAGUCCUGGACUAGGGGGUGUCCGGAUAGCCGGACUAUCGUUAUCCGCCGGACUCCAAGACUACGAAGAUAGAAGAUUGAAGACUCCGGCUCGUGUCCGGAAGGUACUUUCCUUGGCGUGGAAGGCAAGCUUGGCGAUACGGAUAUGUAGAUCUCCUACCAUUGUAACCGACUCUGUGUAACCCUAGCCUCUCCGGUGUCUAUAUAAACUGGAGGGCUUUAGUCCGUAGGACGAACAUACAUUACAACAAUCAUACCAUAGGCUAGCUUCUAGGGUUUAGCCUCCUUGAUCUCGUGGUAGAUCUACUCUUGUACUACCCACAUCAUCAAUAUUAAUCAAGCAGGACGUAGGGUUUUACCUCCAUCGAGAGGGCUCGAACCUGGGUAAAAACGUUGUGUCCC